rnacentral:misc_RNA from 1 species
AACAUCGCGCACCUGCGGGAACCUGCGGAAGGAUCAUUAAUGAUUGGUGGCUGUUGCUGACUAGUGUUUCUAGUAUGUGCACGCCACACCUUCAAUCCCACUUACACCUGUGCACCUUCUGUAAUGGAUCUAUGUGGAUACGGAGAUAUGAAAGUUUGCGCUCUCGUACUCUGUUGAAGCAGUCUACUACGUUUUUUUACACACACACAAUAGUCAUUGAAUGUAUUUUUUAUUCUUAUG